rnacentral:rRNA from 1 species
ACACAUGCAAGUCGAGGGGCAGCGCGGGAUAGCAAUAUCCUGGCGGCGACCGGCGGAAGGGUGCGUAACGCGUGAGCGACAUGCCCGUUGCCCGGGGACAACCGGUGGAAACGCCGACUAAUCCCCGAUGGGAUAUUGUGCCGCAUGGCACGAUAUUGAAAGUUACGGCGGCGACGGAUUGGCUCGCGUCCGAUUAGCUUGUUGGCGGGGUAACGGCCCACCAAGGCUACGAUCGGUAGGGGUUCUGAGAGGAAGGCCCCCCACAAUGGGACUGAGACACGGCCCAUACUCCUACGGGAGGCAGCAGUGAGGAAUAUUGGUCAAUGGGCGGAAGCCUGAACCAGCCAUGCCGCGUGCGGGAAGGAGGCCCUAUGGGCUGUGAACCGCUUUUGCCUGGGGGCAAUAAGGGCGUCGCGCACGCCCGAUGAGAGUACCAGGCGAAUAAGCAUCGGCUAACUCCGUGCCAGCAGCCGCGGUAAUACGGGGGAUGCGAGCGUUAUCCGGAUUCAUUGGGUUUAGAGGGUGCGUAGGCUGUGCGUCAAGUCGGGGGUGAAAUUCCGGUGCUCAACACCGGGGCUGCCCUUGAUACUGUCGCGCUGGAGUGCGGAUGCCGCCGGAGGAAUGAGUGGUGUAGCGGUGAAAUGCUUAGAUAUCACUCAGAACACCGAUUGCGAAGGCAUCUGGCGAAUCCGUAACUGACGCUGAGGCACGAAAGCGUGGGGAUAGAACAGGAUUAGAUACCCUGGUAUUCCACGCCGUAAACGAUGAUGGCUAACCGCCGGCGACACACUGUCGGUGGCCAAGCGAAAGCGAUAAGCCAUCCACCUGGGGAGUACGUCG